GCCUCAUCAAAACCAUAAGGGGAGGGAAACAUAAGGGUCAGACUGAGUCCAAACCAAAGGCCAGGUGGAACAGCUCUGUCUUGCAGGUCCUGCGGAAAGAUGUCAAGUCCCGCAGGGCCCUAGUCUCUUGAGACAGUGUGUUCCACCAAGUCGGGGCCAGUACUGAAAAGGCCCUGGCCCUAGUUGCAGCCAAUCUAACCACCUUGUGACCUGGGACCUCCAAAAUGUUGUAAUUUGUGGACCUUAAGGUCCUCCGCGGGGCAUACCAGGAAAGGUGGUCCCAUAUGGUUCUAGGGCCACAUAGGGCUUUAAAGGUCAAAACCAGCACCUUACUCUGUACUCCAGAGUAAGAGUACCCUGUACUCCACCGGGAGCCAGUGCAGUUGGUAAAGCAAUGGAUGAAUGUGAUCCCACAGCAAGGACCCCGUAAGGAGCCUCGCCGUAGCAUUCUGCACCCCCUGGAGUUUCUGGGUCAGCUUCAAGGGCAGCCCCGCGUAAAGCCAGUUACAAUAAUCAAGUAGUGGGAAGUUUCUGAUGUUUGAUAUGUUGCUAUGUUUUAUAUCUGUUGUAAGCUGCCCAGAAUGGCUGGGGAAACCCAGCCAAAUGGGCAGGGUAUAAAUAAUAACAUUAUUGUUAUUAUUAUAGGAAGUUGGAAUGAGGCAACGGGGCUGCCAUCGCCCCACCGUGUGAGGCUACGACUCUCUGGCUUAGUGGGCCCCCAGCCACCCCUCCAGCUGGCCAUGCCAAAUAAAAACAAGAAGGAGAAAGGGACCCUGUUCAGUCCUGAAUAGAUGGGGGCUUGGAGGAGACUCUGGGCAGGAGCAGGCCCUGCAGGGGGGUGUGGGGCUGUUGAGGUGCAAGCAGGCCUGCAAGGUACCGUAUUUUUCGCUCUAUAAGGCGCACCCGACCAUAAGACGCACCUAGUUUUUAGAGGAGGAAAACAAGAAAGCAACGUAAAGUCUCUUGAAUAAAGAGGGAGGAGCGCUCCUGCUGCGCUCAAGAGGCUUUGCGUUGCUUUCGCUGAAGCCUGUAUUCACUCCAUAAGACGCACACACAUUUCCCCUUACUUUUUAGGAGGGGGAAGUGUGUCUUAUAGAGCGAAUAAUACAGUAACUGGGGAGCAGGGAUGUUAUGGGGCUUCGAGGGGAGGCGAGGGAGUUAGCUGGGCUUGGGGGGGGUUGUCCGUAUCAUGAAAAACUUAAACAAAUGUGCAAAGAAAAAGAACUUGAAAAUUUAUCCAACAAAGAAGCAUAAAUCAAUGAACAAGAACUUAAUAGCUCUCUCCCUGCAGGACUCAGUUGGCACACAUGCUCCAUGAACCCUCCAUAACCUGUGUAUUGUGCCUGGUGGUGUUGGCAAGGGGUGGCCUGGCACAUUGGUUCUGUUGACCUUCCACACCCCGUUGCCUGGCGCGCCCCAGACGCCAAAAAAGGAUGCAACGUCACCAUGCUGUUUCUUCUCUCUUCCCUCCUCCCAGUUGACGUUGCCACCCUUCAGGUCAUGUUCGCAGACAUCUUUGUAGCACAGAGUUGGUCUGCCAACCGUCCUGGUGCCUGAAGCCUGUGGAGCACAUCCUUGGAGGUCUGCCAACUUCUGUGGACACGGCGACCAAAAUGUUUGAACAGGGGGGAGAGAUAGGGCUAAAAAUAUAGACCAAUAGGAAAGCCGGAGGCGGAGCCUACCUGUGUAUAAAAGGGCUUAGCCCGAGGUUUUGUUGGGUGUUGUUGGUGGGUGGUUGGUUGGUUUUAGUGGGUUGGCUGGUUGGGAAAGGCAGUUGGAGAAGCAGUUGGUAGGCAGUUGGUAAUAGAGAGACAGUUAGGGCAGUGGGUUCUUGAGUGAGGGGAGGUAGAAGAGAUGUUGUUGUUGUUGUUGUUGUUGUUGUUGUUGUUGUUGUUUAGUCGUUUAGUCAUGUCCGACUCUUCGUGACCCCAUGGACCAGAGCACGCCAGGCACUUCUGUCUUCUACUGCCUCCCGCAGUUUGGUCAAACUCAUGCUGGUAGCUUCGAGAACACUAUCCAACCAUCUCGUCCUCUGUCGCCCCCUUCUCCUUGUGCCCGCCAUCUUUCCCAGCAUCAGGGUCUUUUCCAGGGAGUCUUCUCUUCUCAUGAGGUGGCCAAAGUAUUGGAGCCUCAGCUUCAGGAUCCGUCCUUCCAGUGAGCACUCAGGGCUGAUUUCCUUCAGAAUGGAGAGGUUUGAUCUUCUUGCAGUCCAUGGGACUCUCAAGAGUCUCCUCCAGCACCAGAAUUCAAAAGCAUCCAUUCUUCGGCGAUCAGCCUUCUUUAUGGUCCAGCUCUCACUUCCAUACAUCACUACUGGGAAAACCAUAGCUUUUACUAUACAGACCUUUGUUGGCAAGAUGAUGUCUCUGCUUUUUAAGAUGCUGUCUAGGUUUGUCAUUGCUUUUCUCCCAAGAAGCAGGCGUCUUUUAAUUUCGUGGCUGCUGUCACCAUCAGCAGUGAUCAUGGAGCCCAAGAUAGUAAAAUCUCUCACUUCUUCUGGUAGAAGAGAUAGAGAGAGGAAAAUAAGACUAAGAAAAUAAAGAGCAACAACGUUUGGAAUGCCGUAAAAGUUUGUGUCUGAAAUAAAAUACACUCUUCUUUAUUAAUUGAGAACCUGAUUGAGGCUGAAGUGAUUUUACCGGGGAGGACCUGGUUGGUGGCAGCGGAUUAGUGGUGUACGGGUCAAUAGUCCGUGAGACGACCAGGGGCUCCGUACGAACGCCACACACAUCCUUGGAGGUCUGCCAACUUCUGUGGACACGGCGACCAAGUCAGCAUAGAUGUCGCCGAGACAGAGGCAGGGGCGAAGUGUGGGCAGUGCCAGGGGAGCCAUGGUGCCGGGCACACAAUUUUUGUGGGGGUGUGAACCAGGUGACCCUACGCAGGCAAUCCCACUGCAGUCCGGCCUGGUACAUAUCUCUGUCGGCCAGCCAGGCUCCCCCUGUUUUGCUCCGGUAGGGGUGGGGUCAUUCUGGCGGCAAGGAAUAGGCUGGCGCACCAGCGCAUUUGCAUCCUCCCCACCCACCCUGGGCGCUGAAAACUGACUCUACGCCGCUGGACCUGAAAUGCAAGCAAUGGAAAUAAAAUCAACAACCACCGCUUUGACCCAUGAUAACUGGAUCCCAGUAUAAUUCCUCUCCAGACCAUGCAGUGAUACCGAAUUGGGCAAAACAGCAUUACGUAAUGGCACCAUCAGGGCCUCGGCAGGCCGCUGCUGGUGGCACCUCCGCCUGUGCGUUGCUUGAACUCUCCCCUGCCGUCCAAAAUACAAACCUCUGAGGCUGUUCUUUGCCGCCUCCCCACCACCCAACCUUAAAAAUAAAAUAAAGAAGAAUCCUAAAAAUUAUUUUGGUUAGCAACUGGCGCUCGGGGCCAGGCCGCUAGCUGGCAUGUGGUCAUGAAUGACCCCUGCUGUGGCAGCCUGGCUUGCUGGAGCAGAGCAAACUCGCAGAUCUGAUAGCUGCCCCGAGCACUUGGCGCAAGCUGGGGAACUGCGCUAAAUAUAGGCUUCUUGGGAACAGGCUGCUAUGUGUGUGUGAGAGAGGGAGAGAGUAAAAAAAAAUAAAAUGCUGUUUCAGUUUGUGUCAUCAUUAUUACGAGCGAUGAUGAUGGGUUUAUUUCAUUAAACGGGGCUUCCACUGCCUCUUCGUCGCUCGCCUUGGAGAACGACCUUUCCGAGCAGGUUUUAGCUCUCCUGUUCAGAGGAUGUUUUGUGGCAUAUAAAAACUGUGCUUAAAAGGAGACAGUCAGGUUAAAUAAAGGCGGGGGCGAUUUGAGAGGAUCAGCUCCUCAUCUGGAUAGGUCAUUUGCCAAUUCACACCAAGGCCACAUCCGAACUAUCUGUUUAAAGCACUAAUUAUACCAUUCUAACAGUUAUGGAAGGGACGCGGGUGGCACUGUGGGUUAAACUAGGACUUGCCGAUCAGAAGGUCGGCGGUUCGAAUCCCCACGAUGGGGUGAGCUCCCGUUGCUCGGUCCCUGCUCCUGCCAACCUAGUAGUUCGAAAGCACGUCAAAGUUCAAGUAGAUAAAUAGGUACCACUCCGGCGGGAAGGUAAACGGCGUUUCCGUGCGCUGCUCUGGUUCUCCAGAAGCGGCUUAGUCAUGCUGGCCACAUGACCCGGAAGCUGUACGCCGACUCCCUCGGCCAAUAAAGCGAGAUGAGCGCCGCAACCCCAGAGUCAUCCUCGACUGGACCUAAUGGUCAGGGGUCCCUUUACCUUCACCUAACAGUCAUGGAAUCCUGGGAACUAUCAUUUGGUGAGGGUGCAGAGAGUUGUUCGGAGACCCCUAUUCCCCUCACAGGGCUACUGUUCCAAUAGCAGUUUAGGUAACUCCGUUGUAGUCUCAGGUAACUCUGGAAAUUGUAGAUCUGUGAGGGAAACAAGGGUUCUCCUCAGCACUCUUAAACUACAUUUCCAGGAUUUUUUUGGGGGGGGUGAGGUGAGCAUUGACUGUUUAAAUUGGUAUAAUACUGCCUCAAAAAUGUAUAGUGAAGAUGUGGCCUGAUAAGCUAUUUUUAAUUGUUGUGAGGGAUGGAAGUGAGAGCUGCUCAUAGAAACCAACAGAGAAGUCCAAGAUUUUAAUGUAUCAGGGAUUGGACCCCAGAAUGUCCACACACCUCCAAGGGCCACACCCUUCUCCCACCACAGACAGAAAACUGUUUCUGACCCCUGGUUCUUCUCAGGGAGAAUAACCUAGUGAUUGAUUCAUAAUGCUGUUUUAUAUAUAUAUAUAUAAAACAAAUCUGUCAGCAUCCAUACCUCCAACUAUAAACCUCCCAUGUGUACCCGUUGUAUUAUUUAACAUAUAUUAUAUAAAAUAAAUGUACUUUUUCAUAAAGUUAAUAGAUGCCACAAGUGCCCACCAAUAUAACUUUUAAAAGGUAAGCAUCUGGAACAGGCUUCCUUAUUACAAAACAAAGGUAUAGUAUAGCUGUUGCAUUCUACACAUUUAUUCACAAAAUGAAUAUGUUUCAAAACAGGGUUGUUGUUUUUUCUUUUCUUCCCCAAGGCUAAAUUUAAUGGAAAUUGGUGAUGUAAAUAUGUUUUGCUGCUUUGGGGACAAUUGGUCAAGGUUGGCUUUUUUUAAUAGUGGUGCAUAUGACCACUGAAAUAAUGAAUGAAAUUGCUGCAGUUGUGUUUCAUAACCUUAUAAAUACUUUGGAGCAUAAAUGCGGGUUUUGUUUUUCAGGAACAUAACUUUGUUCAAGCUUUUCACAAGAUCAGCAGCAACCCGUGACUUGCAGAAGCAGGAAAUGGUGUAAACCAAGCUGUGCUUUGUGACCCAAGGGUCGCAACUUUCAACCCAAAAUCUAUGCAGUUGCAGUCUUAAAGGAUUCAGAAGAGAAUGGAUCUCUCAGACUGUUGUGAUCUUACUUUGGAGGCCCCAGAAGAAAAAACUGCAACUGGUUAGGUUGCUUGUACAAUCUGGCGAAUCCUAGUUCUUCACCUUGUAGGACUUUUUAAAGAUUCUGACCAUCCUUGCUGCUUGCUUUUGACCUUUAAGUGAUAGGACAAGGAUAACUAACCCGCAGCCCAGCAGUUUGCAGAUGUUUUUAAGUGUGCAAAGGCUGGGAUAGGGCGCUGAGCUAGGAUUUGCUGAGAAGAGUGUUUUUCAGAGCUUGAACAGAGUAACAUGUGAUUGGUUUGGGCUUUGAGUGCUUCAUUAACAAAACGACAUUGACAAACUGGAGGGAAGAGUGCACGAUGGCGCGACUGAUCUCGGAGCCGCGGGGACUGAUGUUAUGAGAAAAGAUUAAAAGAGC